UACGUAGGGGGCGAGCGUUGUCCGGAGUACUGGGCGUAAAGCGCACGCAGGCGGUCUGCUAAGUUUGGAGUGACAGUUGGUGGCUUAACUGCCAAAGUGCUUCGAAAACUGACAGACUUGAGGGCUUCAGAGGGACACGGAAUUCCGGGUGGAGUGGUGAAAUGCGCAGAUAUCAGGAAGAACACCGAUGGCGAAGGCAGAUCUCUGGGCCGUAACUGACGCUGAGAAGCGAAAGCAUGGGGAGCGAACAGG
rnacentral:rRNA from 1 species